rnacentral:lncRNA from 1 species
AUUAUUGGCAAGUGGCCGACGGUAGUUCUGGAUUCUAUUGAUACACUCUGAUGACCUAUUCGUCGAUUCGUUAUGCAUAUAUCCUAGUUUACCUGAGGUACUUGUGGUUCAUUGAGCAGUAUUUGCAUAUGAUUGAGAGGAUGUUGAUAUUGUCCCAUCCUAGUUGACCUGAGUGGUCAGUUCUUGUGCUUCCUUACAGUUGAUGACCUAUACGGUCGAUGAGCCCUGUGGGCAGGAUUGUCGGCUGGUUGCCGAUGUUUGGCCUUUGAGCAUAUCAGCAUUGAUCGCCCGAGACUCGUUCGCAUUUCACGAACACCAGCGGUCUGAUCCACCGCAAGAGGGUGUUCUUUUCCGAAAAAGUGGUUGCAGGUGUCGACCCGUGAUCCCUAGAGGGUGUUCUUUUCCGGUUAGAUGCAUGGUAGAACGGCAGUGGUACUGUCGGGAGGUCUCCGGUGUGAACCUCCAGGGCACAGGCUUGAGGUUCCGGUGCGGACCAAUAGAGCAGCAGAUUUCAGAUUGGGUAUAUUUGGACUUCUUGUUCGGUUGACGCAUAUAGCUAUAGUAGCGGUUGUUGUUUGUAUACCUUCAGUUCUUUCUUUA